UCCCAUUCGAGAAGGAGAAGCAGAAGAGGAGGCCCAAUGGUUCGCUCCCCUCGGUUUGUUCGCCGCUAGACCUUCUUGAUCUGAACCAAUCUUCGUACGGUGCUACUGUAGGGUUUCGAUCUCUCUGUUUCCAAGGCGCGAGAACGCGGGAGAUGGAUCUUGGGUCGAAGAAGAGGAUUUUACAAGAGGGAGAGCAGACGGUACAGUGGAAGGGGAAAGAAGCCGUGGGUUUCUGUAGCAAUGGAUAUUGCCUUUGACCCAUCAUGAAUCCCAUCUGACAACAUAACAAUCCGCAUUUCAAUCUUUAUUUAUCAGCACUAACCAGUGCUUCUCAUUUGCAGUCAACCCAAGAGCAUGCAGCUCCGCACUUUGCACUUGCCGUCAUGCUCGGCAGUCGCUGGGGCAUCGACCACGUCGUCAAAAUAGCUGAUGAAAUGACAGCAAGAAAAGGUCAGGAGUUAAAUCUGCUUUAGACCUUAUUUUAAUUAGCACUGACUGCAAACGAAGACAUAAACCCAAAGUAUGAUGAAAUUUCUCAUUUCUUGGCUUACAAGAGCAAGAAGAGGAUUCAUCAAAAGGUUUUAUGUGCCAUACAUCGUCGUCUCCUGCUGGUUAUCCUUGGCAAUCUUGAAAUAGAUUAAUAUUCAUCUAAAUAAUGGAAUUCAUGCACUCCUGAAAGCUUUCAGGUAGAUAUUCUGAUUAUCACACAGGUCAAACGAUUUAAUCUUAAAAUUGGUGUAUUUUGUUUGUUA